GAGGAGUCACAGGCACAGACAGCUGGACUGGCCAUGAACAGAGGAGAGAAGCUGAGAAUGAAUACGCAUCUAUAUAAAUUCAAGCAAGCACCUCCCAUCCUGUGCCCAUGAAGACCCCAGACUCAGCGAGCAGAGAAGAGAAGCAGCUGGACAUCAGGGAGAGGCGACUUGACUUCAGAAGACAGUGGCAGGGAGGCAACUUGACUUCAAGGGAGAGUGAGCUGCCCUUCCCAUUCCCUUUCCAGCUCCACUCUUCACUGAGAGCUGCUUUCAUCAUUCAAUAAAAUUCUCCGCAUUCACCAUC